UGGUCUGUAGUUCAGUUGGUAGAACACUCGACUGUUAAUCGAGAUGUCGCAGGAUCGAGACCUGCCAGACCAGCCA
rnacentral:tRNA from 1 species